GGGGGAUAUUGCACAAUGGGGGAAACCCUGAUGCAGCAACGCCGCGUGAGGGAAGAAGGUCUUCGGAUUGUAAACCUAAGUAGACAGGGACGAAACAAAUGACGGUACCUGUAAAGUAAGCUCCGGCUAACUACGUGCCAGCAGCCGCGGUAAUACGUAGGGAGCGAGCGUUGUCCGGAUUUACUGGGUGUAAAGGGUGCGUAGGCGGGUUUGCAAGUCAGGCGUGAAAUACCGAAGCUUAACUUCGGGGCUGCGCUUGAAACUGUAGAUCUUGAGUGAAGUAGAGGCAAGCGGAAUUCCUAGUGUAGCGGUGAAAUGCGUAGAUAUUAGGAGGAACACCAGUGGCGAAGGCGGCUUGCUGGGCUUUAACUGACGCUGAGGCACGAAAGCAUGGGGAGCAAAC
rnacentral:rRNA from 1 species